rnacentral:lncRNA from 1 species
GCAUUCUUUCUCAAAGUAUAACCACGUCUGGAAUAGGGGUUUCUGCCCUGUCUCAUCUCGAUGGACAGGUUUUUACGUGUGCUGUUUCUCUCUUUAAAUGUUUAUUUCAUCACAACCGUGCUCAAAAUUGGGAUCGCGGUAUCAAGACUUUUGGACAGGUGGUAUGUAUGCGUUCACCAAUUUUUCUACAAAGCGUGGAAUUCCCAC